UAUACAACUGCAGACUCCUCCACAGCUCCAAGGGCAUGAGGACAGGCUCAUUUCGGCUGCAAUUUUUUUCCUGCAGCUUUCUACCAAUGGCAGUUUUGCCUGCAAUGUCUGACCUAUGUCAUAAUUAAAGGAAACCCUUCCCUUCGAGAGCAGGCAGGCAGCCAGGUCCUACCUGCAGGUGUAUCGGCUCACUGCUGUCCCACCUUGAGCAAACAGGUGUUGCUAUGUGAAGCAGCCAUAAGGUCCAAGAGAGUGACAGGAGAGAUGGAGUGUUUUUAACAUCAUUAAGGCCAUAAAUCAGGAGCCAGAAGCUCUUCCCCAGCUGAAAGCUUCCCCAGCGCCUUUGGCAGGGGACACAACAAAGCACAUGGCCAUUAUCAGAAAUAUUGAAAAAUAAAAUAUUACAAAAAAUGAAACAUUAAAAACUAAAAACAGUCACCUGGCUUUGACCCAUAUAAAACACAGAGCGACAUUCCCCACCCUGCCGUAAAACAUUAACAACACAUGCAUGAAUUCACUCCUCAGACCAUCCCCUGUGGGACAGCUCGAUGUGGUUGGCAUGUGGGCUAAACAACAGGUGCCCAAGCAACAGAUGUGACAGACUUCAUUAAUGAUGAUAUCAGCUCCUUGGGAUGGCCCCAAUCACCGGGUGCUGCCGACUCAUCUGCCAGAGCGUUACUUACGCUCUGCUGGGCCUCCUGUGGACAUUCUGAAGGCUCCACUGAACAGGGAGUUUUAGGUCAGUGGCAAACAGAAUCUUCCUCAAAGUGCCUUCCUGAUACGUCUGGGAGAGCCAAGGGCAUCGCAAUGGAAGGGAAAGGGGCAGACUGAAAAGCAGGAGACCGCAGAGACUGUUGUCACUAAAGGACCUGCACACACUUCCCUCCGGCCAGGCCCGGUAGGCCUGCAGCAGCUCAGCUCUGGCCCCUGGCACAGACCUGGGCUCAGGAUGAACCUGCAUGCGGUGACAAAGGCGGCUCAAACCCUUCGGGAAAACUGACGGAUCUGCCCAUAAUGUCAACCUGCUACUGAAACUGGGUCAGUUCCACCUGGUUUCGAGUUUCAGCGUGAACAGUUUUCACAACUCCCAGAUGAACAGGAAAGUUGACAUGACUUUUGCAAGAGCGUGUCCUUGCUAAGCGCAGCAGUGGAACACUUGCCAGAAAAGCCUGCAGAGAAGAGCUAUUCUAGUAUUUCGUGUCUGGAAAAGACGGUGGCUUCUCUUGGUGUGUAUUCCAGACUAAAUGGCUUUUUCUGAGUUGUAUUGCUUCCCAUAUCAAAGCAGGGAAGAACCCCUGAAGUACCCCAAAAAUGACACUUACAGGUUUUCCUUGGCCCACAGAAUGCACUCAGUUUGCUAUCUGACUUAGACGAAUAACUCUUCUAAAAAGCCUAUUAAAAUCAAGCAUGGCACACAAUCAUGCAGUUAAGAUACUCAUUUUCUCUGAAAUUUUGGUGUGAAAGCACUUCUUGAUUUGAUUCCAGAGAAGAAGCUUCAGCAUGCUAUUUUAAAAGGUGAUGUUUCUAUUGCCUCUCCUCAAUCCUCAACCCCUCUCCUUCUCUGACUGAAUUGCACCCACGUUUAUAUGUAGGGAGAAGAAAGUGUUUCACCGCUCCUUGAUCUUUUCUUCCACUUGUCCUGUUUUCUUUUUUUUUCCCCCCAGAAUUAGACCACGAACAGAGGAGGAGAUGCACUGUUGCUGCACCAUAAUCACUCGGGCAUGCAAAUUCAAUCUUCUGUAGCUACUGAGCCAAAUGAAAACAGGGUGAAAACAAUAAGCAGGACACACUGAUCUUUAUAAAUCUCCAUAAGCCAGAUGAUUUAUUUCUACCAUUUCCCCUGCUUCCCAUAUAUAGUAGGGAAAGCAGGGAGGCUGUAUUAAUGCUUGUAAAUAUAUCCUAAUGGUGAACAGCCACUUCGUAGGUGAUAAGUUCAGGGGAAAGAAAUAAGAAGGCACCUUUCUGCUCUGCCUGUUCCAUAACCGGAGAAACUCGAGCCUCUAAACUAGAAACCUCUGAACCUAACUGAGCUCCAUAAAGAACCUGAGCUCCUCUUAUACCUAAGCAACAAAGCUCCAGAACAGCAUAGGUACGGGCAUGAGCUGUUCCUAUAGUUCUUUCAAAAUAAACUGGGGAGAAAACAGAGAGAUGUUAGAAAAAAAGUUUGGAAGUUGUGUUCUUGUUGGUGUUGUUUGUUUUUAAUCCCAGAUGCAGAACUACAAGCUGAAAGCUUUGUUUCUAGAGUCAACACAAAUGAAACACUUCUUUCAACAGCAAAUCUCACCCACAUUUCAUCAUCUGGCGACUGCCUGUCAUUGCAAAGAAAAAAAGUUUCAUGAUCAACUGACUAAA